AGGGUUGUGGCUCAGAGGUAGAGCACUCGCCUGGCAUGCAUGAAGCACUGGGUUCGAUCCUCAGCACCACAU
rnacentral:tRNA from 1 species